rnacentral:rRNA from 1 species
UACGGGGGGAGCAAGCGUUGUUCGGAUUUACUGGGCGUAAAGGGCGCGUAGGCGGCACUGCAAGUCAGUUGUGAAAUCUCCGGGCUUAACCCGGAAAGGUCAACUGAUACUGCAGGGCUAGAGUGCAGAAGGGGCAACUGGAAUUCUCGGUGUAGCGGUGAAAUGCGUAGAUAUCGAGAGGAACACCUGCGGCGAAGGCGGGUUGCUGGGCUGACACUGACGCUGAGGCGCGAAAGCUGGGGGAGCGAACGGG